UGUGCGGUCUAUCAGGUAGUAGUGGGGUGUAAUGUACCUACUAGCCGACGACGGAUACGGGUUGUGGGAGCAAGAGCCCGGAGAUGGAUUUUGAGACAUGAAUCCAGACCCUACGGGGCGCAGCAGGCGCGAAAACUUUACAAUGCGGGAAACCGCGAUAAGGGGACACCGAGUGCCAGCAUCUUAUGUUGGCUGUCCGCAUGUAUAAAUCACAUGUGUUAGCAAGGGCCGGGCAAGACCGGUGCCAGCCGCCGCGGUAACACCGGCGGCCCGAGUGGUGGCCACUAUUAUUGGGUCUAAAGGGUCCGUAGCCGGUUUGGUCAGUCUUCCGGGAAAUCUGACGGCUUAACCGUUAGGCUUUCGGGGGAUACUACCAGGCUUGGGACCGGGAGAGGUAAGAGGUACUACGGGGGUAGGAGUGAAAUCUUGUAAUCCUCGUGGGACCACCAGUGGCGAAGGCGUCUUACCAGAACGGGUCCGACGGUGAGGGACGAAAGCUGGGGGCACGAACCGGAUUAGAUACCCGGGUAGUCCCAGCCGUAAACUAUGCUCUCUAGGUGUCAGGGACGGUGCGACCGUUUCUGGUACCGCAGGGAAGCCGUGAAGCGAGCCACCUGGGAAGUACGGUCGCAAGGCUGAAACUUAAAGGAAUUGGCGGGGGAGCACUACAACGGGUGGAGCCUGCGGUUUAAUUGGACUCAACGCCGGAAAACUCACCGGGGGCGACAGCAAUAUGUAGGUCAAGCUACGACUUUAGCCU
rnacentral:rRNA from 1 species